GUUAUACUUAAAAUUUUUCAUUAACUAAACUUUCAUCCAACCCUACGUGCAAUUCUAGACUUUUACCCAUUUUUUUUACAGGUUAUGUGCAAUUUAAUUAUCUAUGUCUAGAACCAGAAGUACAGUUUGACAUAAAGAUUAUGUAACCUGUAAAUCAAGUGACUAACACAACUUCAUUUUUUUUGUACACCACCUCCUUCAAAAAAAAGAAAAUCUGAUGUAUAUAUUCUUGAAAAUAAACAAUGUUUAAUUUCUCAUACAUACAUACAUACAUACAUAAUACAUAAAUAAGGGAAUUCAGGAUGAGGGAACAGUACUGUGGAAAUAUCCUCUUUCCAGUUUUCUGUAUAAAUAACCCCUCAAUAUUAUAGACGUUUAAGGAGCGACAAUGACAGUGUGUUUCAUAUUAUACAGCUUGUUUUAUUGUGUUUGUCUGUUCUUUUCCCCUAGACGCAGGGCCAGCUCUUGCUAUUGGCAGAACAGGCAUUUGCUUAUGUCCCUGAUUUACCUGCGUUGUGGAGGAAGUGAAAUGGUCAUAAGUUUUCUUGGUAGGACGGCUCACAAGUAGAAAAGACAGAUCUGGCUCUGGGUAAACUAUGACACUGGUGAGACAGACGUAAGGACUGCUGCAAUUUCAUCGUGGACAAAGUACAUGAUGUAAGAAAGAACCCAGGUGAUGGAGUCAGUGACAGGUCAGCAGGCCCAGCAGGCUGUCAUUUGGAAUUUCUUGUCUGCAGAGCAGGAUCUGAGCAACUUCAGGACAAUAAAUAUGUAUGGGAACCCGCCUUUAUGAUACAGAACAGCACGAGAGAAUGUGACCUACGAAAAGGAACGUUCCGCAGGGACAUGGUACCGCCUGUCUGCUUCCACAGCCCGCUUGUCAGCACCUGUCACAAGUGGCGCGACCAACCAAAUGUGUGAUUGAUGUAAUGUAAUAUUUAUACAGCCAAUGAUUGUUGUGCAGGGCAAACAUUCUUUUUCGGCAUAUGGCAAUGUUUUGGUCUGAAGGAAAAGGUAUGAGUGAUAUGAGCAGUAUUUCUUAGUGUAGGUCCUGGAGUGCAACCAAUCAGACUUAAUUGGGCUGUUAUGACAAGGCUGGAAGUAAAAAUAAAAUGUAAUUCAUGAAUAUAAACACAAUUUUAAAAUACUUCGGAAAGAUCGGCACAAAUAUUAAAUUACAGUCAGUGGGUUAUCAACAAUUUAACUCAACCUAAUUAAGAGCUGUGUUAUUAAGCAUUCAGGAAAAAAACACACAAAAAGUAGGUCAUCUGAAACACGGCGUGUUUUUCGAUAUUAAGAACACAAAGACCGUACUUGUGGUCUUGGCAAGAAUGAAUUUGGAGUCCAAUGAUUCAUGGGAUUGGUCUUGUUUGAUGAGGAUGCAACUGAUGUAUCCUUGAUAUUUGAGGUGAGGCAAGAAUGACAUCCAGGGGAUUUUUACUGUC